CAUGCUGUUACACAACAAACGUCAUAAGUUUGCUGCGCACGAAAUGACAAAUCACUUUUGUGACUAUUAACCGUGACUCCGGCGUACUCAGUCAAAUAUUUCACAGGAAAAACGUUUAAAAGUGCCACUUGGUAAGGAUUUUUCAUGAUUUCGGAUUAACGUACUUGAGCAAGACCGCAGAGAAGAUGGUGCCCAAAUAUUGCGACUUUCAACUGCUGUAUGAUAUGUAAAGUGCCAGUAUAUGCACUAUUUGUGUAACUGGUUUCUGAUACAGCUUCGAACCAGGACAAUCGUCCGAGUUAGUUACGGCUGCUGAGGCUUUCGAGUUUCGUGCAGAACUCCGGCAAUAUCAGCGGAUGGCAGUCCAUGAUUUACCGACGGCUGAAAGAACCUUCACCGUGCGUAGCAACAAUCGAAUUCAAAUCGUUCAAUUCUGCAGACGUACCAACUGCAGUAACGUUCAUGAGAUGAUUGUAAUCGGCGGUUGAACAUAUUAAAUUUAAAAAAUUACUUCCUCAAUCGGGUACGGAGCAGACUGCGGGUAACUUACAAUUGUGGGUCAAAGUGCUGAACCAUCUUGAAAUAAGAUAAAGUAUUACAUGGAUAGCUAAAGAUUAAAAAUUCAAAAGGAGAAAUUUUUCUGUUUAAAGAAAAUAGAUUUGUUGGAUCUAUCGCUAUCAA